GACGAACGCUGGCGGCGUGCCUAAUACAUGCAAGUCGAGCGGACUUUCAUUGGUGCUUGCACCUUUGAAAGUUAGCGGCGGACGGGUGAGUAACACGUGGGUAACCUACCCUGUAGAUUGGGAUAACUCCGGGAAACCGGGGCUAAUACCGAAUAACACUUUUGAACUCAUGUUCGAAAGUUAAAAGAUGGUUUCGGCUAUCACUACAGGAUGGGCACGCGGCGCAUUAGCUAGUUGGUGAGGUAACGGCCCACCAAGGCAACGAUGCGUAGCCGACCUGAGAGGGUGAUCGGCCACACUGGGACUGAGACACGGCCCAGACUCCUACGGGAGGCAGCAGUAGGGAAUCUUCCACAAUGGACGAAAGUCUGAUGGAGCAACGCCGCGUGAGUGAAGAAGGAUUUCGGUUCGUAAAACUCUGUUGCAAGGGAAGAACAAGUAGCGUAGUAACUGGCGCUACCUUGACGGUACCUUGUUAGAAAGCCACGGCUAACUACGUGCCAGCCGCCGCGGUAA
rnacentral:rRNA from 1 species